rnacentral:rRNA from 1 species
AGUGAACGCUGGCGGCAGGCCUAAUACAUGCAAGUCGAACGGCAGCACAGCAGAGCUUGCUCUGUGGGUGGCGAGUGGCGGACGGGUGAGGAAUACAUGGGAAUCUGCCCAGUCGUGGGGGAUAACGUAUGGAAACGUACGCUAAUACCGCAUGCGCCCUAAGGGGGAAAGCCGGGGACCGCAAGGCCUGGCGCGAUUGGAUGAGCCCAUGUUCGAUUAGCUAGUUGGCGGGGUAAAGGCCCACCAAGGCGACGAUCGAUAGCUGGUCUGAGAGGAUGAUCAGCCACACUGGAACUGAGACACGGUCCAGACUCCUACGGGAGGCAGCAGUAGGGAAUAUUGGACAAUGGGGGCAACCCUGAUCCAGCCAUGCCGCGUGAGUGAAGAAGGCCCUCGGGUUGUAAAGCUCUUUUGUCCGGAAGAAAGCAAUCGGUAAUACCGUUGUUCUGACGGUACCGGAAGAAUAAGCACCGGCUAACUU